GGCCUUGGAGCCUCGUUGGUUGAGGCAGCAGUCUCUAAAACUGCAGGAGCGGGUUCAAAUCCCGACAAGGCUA
rnacentral:tRNA from 1 species